GUAUCUUCUCGGCCUUUUGGCUAAGAUCAAAGUGUAGUAUCUGUUCUUAUCAGCUUAAUCUCUGGGUACGGCCUCCAAUAACGGCCAAUAACGUAGCUUGGUUAUUAUCUAGGUAGUUCUGGACUACCUGAACUAUUCAAUUUCAUAGCAGUAAAACUUUACAUAACAAACUUCUCCGAACGUUGGACUUAUC
rnacentral:snRNA from 1 species